rnacentral:rRNA from 1 species
UCCUGACUGACCGAUAGUGAACCAGUACCGUGAGGGAAAGGCGAAAAGAACCCCGGCGAGGGGAGUGAAAAAGAACCUGAAACCGUGUACGUACAAGCAGUGGGAGCACGCUUAGGCGUGUGACUGCGUACCUUUUGUAUAAUGGGUCAGCGACUUAUAUUCUGUAGCAAGGUUAACCGAAUAGGGGAGCCGAAGGGAAACCGAGUCUUAACUGGGCGUUAAGUUGCAGGGUAUAGACCCGAAACCCGGUGAUCUAGCCAUGGGCAGGUUGAAGGUUGGGUAACACUAACUGGAGGACCGAACCGACUAAUGUUGAAAAAUUAGCGGAUGACUUGUGGCUGGGGGUGAAAGGCCAAUCAAACCGGGAGAUAGCUGGUUCUCCCCGAAAGCUAUUUAGGUAGCGCCUCGUGAAUUCAUCUCCGGGGGUAGAGCACUGUUUCGGCAAGGGGGUCAUCCCGACUUACCAACCCGAUGCAAACUGCGAAUACCGGAGAAUGUUAUCACGGGAGACACACGGCGGGUGCUAACGUCCGUCGUGAAGAGGGAAACAACCCAGACCGCCAGCUAAGGUCCCAAAGUCAUGGUUAAGUGGGAAACGAUGUGGGAAGGCCCAGACAGCCAGGAUGUUGGCUUAGAAGCAGCCAUCAUUUAAAGAAAGCGUAAUAGCUCACUGGUCGAGUCGGCCUGCGCGGAAGAUGUAACGGGGCUAAACCAUGCACCGAAGCUGCGGCAGCGACGCUGAUGCGUUGUUGGGUAGGGGAGCGUUCUGUAAGCCUGUGAAGGUGUGCUGUGAGGCAUGCUGGAGGUAUCAGAAGUGCGAAUGCUGACAUAAGUAACGAUAAAGCGGGUGAAAAGCCCGCUCGCCGGAAGACCAAGGGUUCCUGUCCAACGUUAAUCGGGGCAGGGUGAGUCGACCCCUAAGGCGAGGCCGAAAGGCGUAGUCGAUGGGAAACAGGUUAAUAUUCCUGUACUUGGUGUUACUGCGAAGGGGGGACGGAGAAGGCUAUGUUGGCCGGGCGACGGUUGUCCCGGUUUAAGCGUGUAGGCUGGUUUUCCAGGCAAAUCCGGAAAAUCAAGGCUGAGGCGUGAUGACGAGGCACUACGGUGCUGAAGCAACAAAUGCCCUGCUUCCAGGAAAAGCCUCUAAGCAUCAGGUAACAUCAAAUCGUACCCCAAACCGACACAGGUGGUCAGGUAGAGAAUACCAAGGCGCUUGAGAGAACUCGGGUGAAGGAACUAGGCAAAAUGGUGCCGUAACUUCGGGAGAAGGCACGCUGAUAUGUAGGUGAAGCGACUUGCUCGUGGAGCUGAAAUCAGUCGAAGAUACCAGCUGGCUGCAACUGUUUAUUAAAAACACAGCACUGUGCAAACACGAAAGUGGACGUAUACGGUGUGACGCCUGCCCGGUGCCGGAAGGUUAAUUGAUGGGGUCAGCGCAAGCGAAGCUCUUGAUCGAAGCCCCGGUAAACGGCGGCCGUAACUAUAACGGUCCUAAGGUAGCGAAAUUCCUUGUCGGGUAAGUUCCGACCUGCACGAAUGGCGUAAUGAUGGCCAGGCUGUCUCCACCCGAGACUCAGUGAAAUUGAACUCGCUGUGAAGAUGCAGUGUACCCGCGGCAAGACGGAAAGACCCCGUGAACCUUUACUAUAGCUUGACACUGAACAUUGAGCCUUGAUGUGUAGGAUAGGUGGGAGGCUUUGAAGUGUGGACGCCAGUCUGCAUGGAGCCGGCCUUGAAAUACCACCCUUUAAUGUUUGAUGUUCUAACGUUGACCCGUGAUCCGGGUUGCGGACAGUGUCUGGUGGGUAGUUUGACUGGGGCGGUCUCCUCCUAAAGAGUAACGGAGGAGCACGAAGGUUGGCUAAUCCUGGUCGGACAUCAGGAGGUUAGUGCAAUGGCAUAAGCCAGCUUGACUGCGAGCGUGACGGCGCGAGCAGGUGCGAAAGCAGGUCAUAGUGAUCCGGUGGUUCUGAAUGGAAGGGCCAUCGCUCAACGGAUAAAAGGUACUCCGGGGAUAACAGGCUGAUACCGCCCAAGAGUUCAUAUCGACGGCGGUGUUUGGCACCUCGAUGUCGGCUCAUCACAUCCUGGGGCUGAAGUAGGUCCCAAGGGUAUGGCUGUUCGCCAUUUAAAGUGGUACGCGAGCUGGGUUUAGAACGUCGUGAGACAGUUCGGUC